AGUCCCUCGCUCGAAGAAAACCCACGCGGCAGGCGGCGCUCGCACGCCUCCCCCUUGCCGCGCCCAGUGAACCCCGCGUCUCACCCUCGAAAAGGGAGACGUGCUGUGCCCGGCCGCCGCCCCGUGCCGCCGCGGUUGAUGCCAGCGAGGGUGCUCCCGUACUCUGGCCGAGGCUGCACUCUCACAUCGUUUCCUCCCUGGCCCUUUCUUCCUCCUCGUCGACACAGGAACGCGGGUCGCCGUAUUGGGAAGCAGCUCGCCGCCACACAACACGAGGAUGGCGAGGCCUAGGCCGCCGCUGAGCCGGACGAGGUCGCCAUCCGGGUCCUCUGCAAAGCUUGUGGUUGGCCACUUGGCUCGCCGCCCGUCUCACCUUUCAGCAAGCACCACUGUAGUUUGGGACUCCCCAUCCAGCUCGCUCUUUGCUACAGCUUGCCGCUCCCAAUUCAGGUUGAAUCUUGUGCACGAGUGUGGCUUGGGUUUCAUUUUGUUUUGCUUGGUACAAUGCUUGCAAUGGAAGUGCUGAACAUUUGUGGAAGAAUAGAUUUUCACCUAAAUUUCUGUUGUAUAACACACAUUGAGGCAAGCUGGCAUCGGCAAGGAGAAAUCGGACACCUCAAGUUUACGAAGUUAAUGACAAAAAAGAGAACUUACUAGACUUGAUGAGUGCAGACAAUGGAAUUCUCGAUUUUUAUUUGCGCUAUUCAAAAGAUGUUCUGGCUUCAAAACAUAUUUGUAAUCCCAAGAAGAAUGAAGUUUGAUUGUACAUUACCUGUUGUUUCUCUUUGCAGAAUUCCAAAGGUACUUUCAUAUACGACUCUUCAUUAUGCUAUUUAUGUCUGGACCACUAAUUUUAUAGUUUGGUUAAAAAUCAUUUAGUAGACUAUAGCAACCUUGAUUUUAGGUGUAAGGAUAUUAUUGCACAUCCAUAGCUGACACUGGAAGCACAUUGAAGUAUCGAAGCCAUUAUGACAACAUGCUGUACCAACUUGUUGAUAAAAAAUGAGUGCCUUUCAAAGUUCCAAUGAAUUUCUCACUGGACAUUUUGUCGCAUUGGCUUGAAUAUGUAUGUUGCGUCAUUUGUGCACAAUGAAAACUGUAUGAACCUGCACUGGGUGGUGUAUUUUUAGGAAGGUUGUCCUUUCUUCAAAGACUGAAAGUUUCCUGGUAAGCGUUACUUUUUCUGAAAAACUGUGUGUUUGUGCACUGUAAUUUUUUGUUUACAUAAGGUUUCUCUUUGCUUUUGUGGGCAUAAUGUCGAGACAAUAAUAUUCAGAAAGUUGUUGUUUUAGGGAAACUCUUAACUCCAUAUGUCAGACCCAUAUCAUUGUUCAACAUGCAUAGUGUUCUUAUAUCAUCUCUAUGAUGUACUCCCACCGUAAAUAAAUAUAAGAGCAUUUAGAUCACUACUUCAGUGAUCUAAACGCUCUUAUAUUUCUUUACAGAGGGAGUAUUAGCUUCCUUUUAUAUCGCAGUAGUCUUUGUUUUGGCCAUGUACCUUCAAACUGAACAAAAUGGUUUGUCUGACCCCAUGUGUGAGGAGAUUAUUUAUAUGAUGUGUGACCAUUUUUUGCAAGUUUUGUUUGAGGAAUCUUUUAUUCUUUUUGCAGUUGGUAAGACAUGGGUUGGACUUACUUCCGUCUUCAAUCUUUGUGCUAAAGUGAUUCAAGGCCCAGGGUUUGAUGUUACUUACACCCAUCGAAGGAGCGGGGAAGGAAGGGAACAACUCAGAGAAGAGGAGGAACAAGACUUGCCGUGCCAACCACCAACCACCACGGACCGAAGAUGUCGUCACUUAUUCGUUGGUGAAAAUGCUUCCAGGACGGAGAAGAUGAUGUCCCUUACUUGUUCUCUAGUGUGUAUACAAGUGAGACUUGUUCCUUUUACAAGGCCAUCACAUUUCUUCCUUGCGCGUAUAUGUUUUGCAUGCUAUAAACUUAUUAACGAUCUGUGAUAACCACCCCUACAUCUUCAGAACGCACAAUCAUGAUAUCAUCGAUCUGGAGUUAGAUUGUACAGUAUGACUUUGGUCUCAAAGACAAUCUUCAUACUUGUUGAUCCAUACCAACACACGGAUAUUUAGCUAGUACAAAUAAAUUGUGAAAACAACAUCAUUAUAUGCUCAACAUCAUCGUACACUGAUUGUACAGUGCCCAUAUAAAUAACAGAAACCUGAUACUCAACAUACAUCUCAGUUAUGACCAGGUCUCAAUGAUAAACUUGCCAUUCUUUUUCAGACCGUCACCCAUUGCGAAACAUCAUUUUUUGGAACACCACCCUGCUGACAUAAAACUUCUUCCAAUGCAGCCGUAACAUCAGCAGGCAUUCUGGUAGAAGACCCAGCAACGUAUAUUGUAGCCUCAGAGGAGCAUAACAUGUU